rnacentral:rRNA from 1 species
AUUGAACGCUGGCGGCAGGCUUAACACAUGCAAGUCGAGCGAGCGGCGGACGGGUGAGUAAUGUCUGGGAAACUGCCUGAUGGAGGGGGAUCACUACUGGAAACGGUAGCUAAUACCGCAUACCAUCAGAUGUGCCCCUAUGGGAUUAGCUAGUAGGUGUGUGAAUGUCUCACCUAGGCGACGAUCCCUAGCUGGUCUGAGAGGAUGACCAGCCACAAUGGAACGGAGACACGGUCCAGACUCCGACGUGAGGCAGCAGUGGGGAAUAUUGCACAAUGGGCGCAAGCCUGAGGCAGCCAUGCCGGGUGUGUGAAGAAGGCCUUCGGGUUGUAAAGUACUUUCAGCGAGGAGGCGUUACUCGCAGAAGAAGCACCGGCUAACUCCGUGCCAGCAGCCGCGGUAAUUC